AUGACACGAGUCUACGGUGGAUCUCUCGACCUAUGGUGCUUAGGUCUCUCGAUUGGGUACAGAUACAAGCUAGGGUUUCAGCAAGAAAAGGGGAUCGGGAGAAGGAGCCGGGAGGUGGGAGAGAAGAUACACACCCAAAGACGUUCCGAUAGUUGCUUAGCUGCCUUGUUCUAUUUCGUUGGUUUUGGGGACGAUUUGAUGCCAGUUUGUUCGGGGACAUGCAUUUCAUCGUGGCGUGCAUCUGUAAUAAUGAAAUAUUAUCAAGUGUUUGAGUCCACGACCAUGUCAAUUGCCGGUACUGGAUCUGCCUCGUUUCAUCUGCCCAACUCUGAAUGCUUUUAUCCCUAUAACUCUGCUGGUACCCUGCUGCGUGAUGAACCAGAAAUCGCUCCUAUCAUGAACCGAAUUGAGCAGUACAAUGGCCGUUUUGCUGGAGUUCCUCACAGUAUGAUUCAGCAAAGCUUCUGUCCAGCUAGAAAGUUUGCACCCAUCCAUGUUAGUGGACGCUGCCAGUUAGGGCAUGCCUCUUCCUUGCUUAGCAUAUUUGUUGUUGCUGGUGAGUACUCGAUGUUUGGAACACAGAAAGCAAUGCACGAUGAGAACCAGGCGCUGCUUUGUGGUGACCUUGAAACGAAAGGCACCUUGAAAAGAACCAUGAGAUGCGGCCAACAAACUUCCCUACUGCAAACAUCAGUUCAUGCUCAGACUCUACAUUACACAUGA
rnacentral:rRNA from 1 species